AUGUCACCGAUUCUAUUCAACAUAGUGGUUGAUAUGCUAUCUAUUUUAAUAGGUCGGGCUAAGGAUGCGGGGCAGGUUAGUGGCUUGGUUCCGCACCUAGUUGAUGGUGGUAUAUCCAUAUUGCAGUAUGCUGAUGAUACUAUCAUCUUUAUGGAGCAUGACUUGGCGAAAGCGAGAAACUUGAAGCUUGUGUUGUGCUUAUUUGAACAAUUGUCUGGGCUCAAGACUAACUUCAAUAAGAGCGAAUUGUUUUGCUUUGGAAGAGUUAAUGAUGACCAGGAGGCGUACAAGCAAUUGUUAGGAUGUGAGUUGGGUUCGUUACCGUUCACGUACUUAGGUAUACCUAUUCAUCAUCGUAAGCUGACGAACAAGGAGUGGAAGUGCAUCGAGGAUCGUUUUGAAAAGAAACUGAGCUAUUGA
rnacentral:rRNA from 1 species